UGGGGAAUAUUGCACAAUGGGGGAAACUCUGAUGCAGCGACGCCGCGUGAACGAAGAAGGUAUUCGUAUCGUAAAGUUCUGUCCUAUGGGAAGAUAAUGACAGUACCAUAGAAGAAAGCUCCGGCUAAAUACGUGCCAGCAGCCGCGGUAAUACGUAUGGAGCGAGCGUUGUCCGGAAUUAUUGGGCGUAAAGGGUACGCAGGCGGUUUAAUAAGUCGAAUGUUAAAGAUCGGGGCUCAACCCCGUAAAGCAUUGGAAACUGAUAAACUUGAGUAGUGGAGAGGAAAGUGGAAUUCCUAGUGUAGUGGUGAAAUACGUAGAUAUUAGGAGGAAUACCAGUAGCGAAGGCGACUUUCUGGACACAAACUGACGCUGAGGUACGAAAGCGUGGGGAGCAAACAGG
rnacentral:rRNA from 1 species